rnacentral:rRNA from 1 species
UACGUAGGGGGCAAGCGUUGUCCGGAUUUAUUGGGCGUAAAGCGCACGCAGGCGGUCUUUCGCGUUUUGAGUGACAGGUGGGGGCUUAACUCCCACAGGCCUCAGAAGACGGGAAGACUUGAGGGCUUCAGAGGGACGCGGAAUUCCAGGUGGAGCGGUGAAAUGCGUUGAUAUCCUGAGGAACACCGGUGGCGAAAGCGGCUCACUGGGUCUUUUCUGACGCUGAGGCACGAAAGCUAGGGUAGCGAACGGG